AGAGUGUUCUGGAUCAGAUCUGCUGCAGGAUCAUCCUUUCCUGAAAUCAUCUUCACUCAUCACAACAACAGCAGCAGCAGCAGCCGUCAGUGUGAGAUCAGCUCUUCUAAACACAGCAGAGUGUACAACUUCUCCCCCAACAUCCCCAACAACCACCAUGCUGCAACUUACUACUGCACUGUGGAGACCUGUGGAAGGAUCAUCGUUGGAAACGGGACAGCAGUAGAAAUAAAACAGUGGGACAGUUCUACACGUGUACUGGUAGUCGCUCUCGGGGUGUUUUCAGGAGUGUGUGUGGUUGUAAUCUGUGCUCAGGCCAUCAUCAUUUUGAAGCUGAAGAGAACUGGGCCAUGUGCUGGGAAACUUCAGCCGGGCGCUGUGGUGGAGAACGCUUUCAGUCAGCAGGACCAGAAUGCUGAUAGUCUGAAUUACGCUUCAGUUCAGUUUAAAGAGAAGAAACCUAAACGAGAAGAGAGACGGAGGAGAGAGGAACCGGAGGAACUGGUCUACUCUCAAGUCAGAUCCACCACUCACCGUCCAAAACAUUAGAUCUACUAGAGCUAAGUAUUACAGUCUUUACAGACAGACAAAAAAGAUAGAACUUCGUUAACUCGUACUUAAGAUUGAUCAUUAAUUAAAGAGUGUUUCCCAAACCCAUGCGUAACUAAAGUACUACGUAAACUCGCUCGCAGAUUAACGAGUAACCUGAACCAGUCUUUAU